UACGAAGGGGGCUAGCGUUGCUCGGAAUCACUGGGCGUAAAGCGCACGUAGGCGGGUUCUUAAGUCAGGGGUGAAAUCCUGGAGCUCAACUCCAGAACUGCCUUUGAUACUGGGAAUCUCGAGUCCGGGAGAGGUGAGUGGAAACUGCGAGUGUAGAGGUGAAAAUUCGUAGAUAUUCGCAAGAACACCAGUGGCGAAGGCGGCUCACUGGCCCGGUACUGACGCUGAGGUGCGAAAAGCGUGGGGGAGCAAACAGGG
rnacentral:rRNA from 1 species